AUUGAACGCUGGCGGCAGGCCUAACACAUGCAAGUCGAGCGGAUGAAGGGAGCUUGCUCCUGGAUUCAGCGGCGGACGGGUGAGUAAUGCCUAGGAAUCUGCCGGGUAGUGGGGGAUAACGUCCGGAAACGGGCGCUAAUACCGCAUACGUCCUGAGGGAGAAAGUGGGGGAUCUUCGGACCUCACGCUAUCAGAUGAGCCUAGGUCGGAUUAGCUAGUUGGUGGGGUAAAGGCCUACCAAGGCGACGAUCCGUAACUGGUCUGAGAGGAUGAUCAGUCACACUGGAACUGAGACACGGUCCAGACUCCUACGGGAGGCAGCAGUGGGGAAUAUUGGACAAUGGGCGAAAGCCUGAUCCAGCCAUGCCGCGUGUGUGAAGAAGGUCUUCGGAUUGUAAAGCACUUUAAGUUGGGAGGAAGGGCAGUAAGUUAAUACCUUGCUGUUUUGACGUUACCAACAGAAUAAGCACCGGCGAACUUCGU
rnacentral:rRNA from 1 species